CCUACGGGUGGCAGCAGUGGGGAAUAUUGGACAAUGGGCGAAAGCCUGAUCCAGCCAUGCCGCGUGUGUGAAGAAGGCCUUCGGGUUGUAAAGCACUUUCAGUGGGGAAGAAAGUCUUGGGGCUAAUACCCUCGAGGAAGGACAUCACCCACAGAAGAAGCACCGGCUAACUCCGUGCCAGCAGCCGCGGUAAUACGGAGGGUGCGAGCGUUAAUCGGAAUUACUGGGCGUAAAGCGCGCGUAGGCGGUCUGAUAAGCCGGUUGUGAAAGCCCCGGGCUCAACCUGGGAACGGCAUCCGGAACUGUCAGGCUAGAGUGCAGGAGAGGAAGGUAGAAUUCCCGGUGUAGCGGUGAAAUGCGUAGAGAUCGGGAGGAAUACCAGUGGCGAAGGCGGCCUUCUGGACUGACACUGACGCUGAGGUGCGAAAGCGUGGGUAGCAAACAGGAUUAGAUACCCCGGUAGUC
rnacentral:rRNA from 1 species